GGGUCAAUUUGAGCAUUUCAUUUUUCUCUAAAAAAUAUUCAGGGUUCACAAAAGAAUGCAGCCAAAGAAUAACAUGUGAUCAUAGUACUGGUUUAGUGUUGUGUUUUUGAACACAUCUCCCACUGGCCAGCUUCCAAAAAAACAAUA